AAGUCGUAACAAGGUUUCUGUAGGUGAACCUGCAGAAGGAUCAUUAGAGUAUUUGAGACUGGGACAGCCUUCCGGGAGCGCUUUCGAGCGCGACUUGGGACUGUCCACCUCACGUACAUCUGAUCCAAACCCCUGUGCGCUAGCUCUGCCAUCUUUUUGGCGGAACGGAACAAACACUUUUUGAGUAAGAAUGGACGUUUUGUUGUUGGAUCAUAACGACCAACGAAGACAAAUACAA
rnacentral:misc_RNA from 1 species